ACCUACGGGGGGCAGCAGUAGGGAAUUUUCGUCAAUGGGCGCAAGCCUGAACGAGCAAUGCCGCGUGAACGAGGAAGGUCUUCGGAUCGUAAAGUUCUGUUGAAGGGGAAAAAGAGCGGAGAGAGGAAAUGCUUUCUGAUUGAUAUUACCCUUCGAGGAAGUCACGGCUAACUACAUGCCAGCAGCCGCGGUAAUACGUAGGUGGCGAGCGUUAUCCGGAAUGAUUGGGCGUAAAGGGUGCGUAGGCGGCCUGCUAAGUCUGGAGUGAAAGGUACCGGCUCAACCGGUACAGGCUCUGGAAACUG
rnacentral:rRNA from 1 species